rnacentral:rRNA from 1 species
UACGUAGGGUGCGAGCGUUGUCCGGAUUUAUUGGGCGUAAAGAGCUCGUAGGCGGCUUGUCGCGUCGACCGUGAAAACCCGCAGCUCAACUGCGGGCUUGCGGUCGAUACGGGCAGGCUCGAGUUCGGUAGGGGAGACUGGAAUUCCUGGUGUAGCGGUGAAAUGCGCAGAUAUCAGGAGGAACACCGGUGGCGAAGGCGGGUCUCUGGGCCGAUACUGACGCUGAGGAGCGAAAGCGUGGGGAGCGAACAGG